rnacentral:rRNA from 1 species
UACGAAGGGGGCUAGCGUUGCUCGGAAUCACUGGGCGUAAAGCGCACGUAGGCGGCUUCUUAAGUCAGGUGUGAAACCUCCAGCUCAACCUGGAGACGCCACUUGAUACUGCUGUGACUGGAGUCCGGUAGGGGAGCGUGGAAUUCCUGGUGUAGCGGUGAAAUGCGUAGAUAUUGGGAGGAACACCGGUGGCGAAGGCGGCCCCCUGGACCGGUACUGACGCUGAGGCGCGAAAGCGUGGGUAGCAAACGGG